AUAUAUAUUUUAACUUAUUUGUAGAAAUGAGGUUUCACUAUGUUGCCCAGGCUCGUCUCAGACCUCUGAUCUCAAGUGUUCCUCCUCUUUGGCCUCCCAAAGCACUGGGAUUACAGGUGUGAGCCACCAUGCUUUGGCAUGGUGGGGUAUGCAGUAGGAGAGCAGGGGUGGUGGUAGUGUCUCCAUAUGUACUCUCACUAAAACUGGUGUGGGCAGAUACUGGAUGCCUACUUAUUUAGGGGCAUCUAAAUUCCUGUGCUAAAUUAGAAAACAGAGGCAGCUCUUGAAAGGAGUGAUGGCGUGAAGGAGAGAUGCUUGGACCAACCAGCACACAGCCCUUAUAAAUAAUUGAUACCCUUGGUUUUAAUGCCACGUCCUCUUCAACAGUUGUUGGUUGAAAUGACACGUGAUUCCAGCCUGCACUAGGUGACGCUGAAGCCACAGAAGACACUGCAGUGGGAAAACCAGCAUGAGCCGCUGCCCCCAAGGAACCUCGAAGCCCAGGCAGAGGACCAGCCAUCCCAGCCCGCAGGUAAAGUGUGUCACCUGUCAGGUGGGCUUGGGGUGAGUGGGUGGGGGAAGUGUGUGUGCAAAGGGGGUGUGAGUGUGUAUGUGUGUGAGCACAUGAGUGAUGGCUAGUGUGACUGCAUGUCAGGGAGUGUGAACAAGCGUGCGAGGGUUGUGUGCAAGUGCGUAUGCAUAUGAGAAUAUGUGUCUGUGGAUGAGUGCAUUUGAAAGUCUGUGUGUGUGUGGUCAUGAGGGUAAGUUAGUGACUGAAUGCGCAGGAUGUGAGUGUGCAUGGAACACUCAGUGUGUGUGUGGCAAGUGUGUAGGCGUGUGAGGACAGGCAGAAGUGUGUCAGUGUUGUGAUGGGAGUGUGAAUGAGUGUGCAAAAAGGUGAGUGAAUGCAUGGAAGUGUGUGUCAACUAUGAAGGCAUGUAGUGUGUCAGUGUGUGCAGUGCAAGCAUGUGUGGGAAUGAGUGCUUGUUGGUGUGUCCAUAUCCAACGGGUAUGUGUGAAAGCAUGUAAAAGUGUGUGUAGUGUGAUGGUGUGUGGAUGUAUCAGUGUGUAUAAAUGAGAGCAUGUAAAUGUGUAUGUAUGAGUGUUGAGUGUGCAUAUGUGAGGCUGUGCGUGUGAGUGUAACCAUGAGGGUGUGAACGUGCUUAAGUGUAUGUGCGUGUGACAGUGCAAGUGUAGGUGUGUGAUGCAUGUGUGGGUUUGCCAGUGUAUGAGUGUACAUGGUGUGGAUCUGAAUGUGCACAGUGUAAAGGGCAUGAGUGCAAGUGUGUGUGAGUGUAUGUGAAUGAGUGGUAGUGUGCAUGCAUGUGUGAGUGCACGCUCAGAAGCAUGGAUGGGUGCAAGCCUCCCCUACUAACUCCUCCUCCUUCCUGAGAUCAAAAAAGUAUGUGUUUUCUGUGUUUCAAAAAUGUUUU
rnacentral:lncRNA from 1 species